GAGAGUAUAGCUCAAGUGGUAAAGUAUGUGCUUAGCACGCAGAAGGUCAUGGGUUCAAACCCCAGUACUUCCA
rnacentral:tRNA from 1 species